CUUCAUGAAAAGGGAUGAGGAUCUUUAAUACGGAAAUAUGCUUCAAAAUGGAGGGGCUGCUGUAUCUGCUCCAAAUAUUCGAUAUGCUGGCAGUUCAAAACCAUCGCAGUUAGCUUGGAGUUGUCAGCCAGCUCCAAUAAAAAUAUUGCCCCGAUCCAGCAGAAACUCUGUUAGAAAAGUAAGCCAGAAUAAUCACAUAAAUAAUAUUCUUAAAUUUGUAAUACAAUUAUUUUUUAACACGCCACAGGACGUAUCUGGAGAGCCUGCACAAGCGUUUAACCGCACACAUCCGUUUUGCCAAGAAAUUUGAGCUGAGAAAUUUGAGUCCAGGUGCUGGUCUAUUUCGAGUCGCAAACGAUUUACUUCGUGAAGAAGAUGGAGCGGCCGGGCGUCCACCAGCGAGAGGUGUUUAUCAUCAACGCCUGGCUGGUCAAGAUGUGAAGCAAGAAGAAGAUUUUCCAUUCCACAAGAGACUCGCUCUGCGCCGCGGCUAUCCGUUCUUCAUCAGGCGGUGGAUGGCAAGAUCCCGAUCACCUACAAUGUAUUUUCGUGCAGCUAAAAAUGAAAAACUAUAAUUAAAACAAUAAACUUGUACACAUAUACAUAUGUACAUAUGUUUGUACAUACAUAUAUAAA
rnacentral:lncRNA from 1 species